GACGAACGCUGGCGGCGUGCUUAACACAUGCAAGUCGAACGGAAAGGCCCUGCUUUUGUGGGGUGCUCGAGUGGCGAACGGGUGAGUAACACGUGAGUAACCUGCCCUUGACUUUGGGAUAACUUCAGGAAACUGGGGCUAAUACCGGAUAGGAGCUCCUGCUGCAUGGUGGGGGUUGGAAAGUUUCGACGGUUGGGGAUGGACUCGCGGCUUAUCAGCUUGUUGGUGGGGUAGUGGCUUACCAAGGCUUUGACGGGUAGCCGGCCUGAGAGGGUGACCGGCCACAUUGGGACUGAGAUACGGCCCAGACUCCUACGGGAGGCAGCAGUGGGGAAUAUUGCACAAUGGGCGGAAGCCUGAUGCAGCAACGCCGCGUGCGGGAUGACGGCCUUCGGGUUGUAAACCGCUUUCGCCUGUGACGAAGCGUGAGUGACGGUAAUGGGUAAAGAAGCACCGGCUAACUACGU
rnacentral:rRNA from 1 species